AAAUUGAAGAGUUUGAUCAUGGCUCAGAUUGAACGCUGGCGGCAGGCCUAACACAUGCAAGUCGAACGGUAACAGGAAGCAGCUUGCUGCUUUGCUGACGAGUGGCGGACGGGUGAGUAAUGUCUGGGAAACUGCCUGGUGGAGGGGGAUAACUACUGGAAACGGUAGCUAAUACCGCAUAACGUCGCAAGACCAAAGAGGGGGACCUUCGGGCCUCUU
rnacentral:rRNA from 1 species